AGAAUUUGGAAAUUCAGGUUUCCUGGAGAAUU
rnacentral:piRNA from 1 species